UGGGGAAUCUUGCACAAUGGGGGCAACCCUGAUGCAGCGACGCCGCGUGAGCGAUGAAGCCCUUCGGGGCGUAAAGCUCUUUCGACCGGAACGAUAAUGACGGUACCGGGAGAAGAAGCUGCGGCUAACUACGUGCCAGCAGCCGCGGUAAUACGGAGGCAGCAAGCGUGGUUCGGAGUUACUGGGCGUAAAGAGUGCGUAGGCGGUUUUCUAAGUUCGGUGUGAAAUCUCCCGGCUUAACUGGGAGGGUGCGCCGAAGACUGGGAAGCUGGAGUGUGGGAAAGGCAGGCGGAAUUCCUGGUGUAGCGGUGAAAUGCGUAGAUAUCAGGAGGAACACCGGCGGUGUAGACGGCUUGCUAGACCAUAACUGACGCUGAGGCACGAAAGCGUGUGUAGCAAACA
rnacentral:rRNA from 1 species